rnacentral:rRNA from 1 species
AUUUAACGCUGGCGGCAGGCCUAACACAUGCAAGUCGAACGAGUGGCGGACGGGUGAGUAAUGUCUGGGAAACUGCCUUGUGGAGGGGGAGAACUACUGGAAACGGUAGCUAAUACCGCAUACCAUCAGAUGUGCCCAUAUGGGAUUAGCUUGUUGGGGGGGUAACGGCUCACCAAGGCGACGAUCCCUAGCUGGUUUGAGAGGAUGACCAGCCAAACUGGAACUGAGACACGGUCAAGACUCCUACGGGAGGCAGCAGUGGGGAAUAUUGCACAAUGGGAGCAAGCCUGAUGCAGCCAUGCCGCGUGUAUGACGAAGGCCUUCGGGUUGUAAAGUACUUUCGGCGGGGAGGCGUUACCCGCAGAAGAAGCACCGGCUAACUCCGUGCCAGCAGCCGCGGUAAUUC